rnacentral:rRNA from 1 species
UACAGAGGGGGCAAGCGUUAUUCGGAAUUAUUGGGCGUAAAGGGCGCGUAGGCGGCCGUGCAAGUGGAAAGGUGAAAUCCCUCGGCUCAGCCGAGGAACUGCCUUUCAAACUGCUUGGCUUGAGUCCGGGAGAGGUGAGUGGAAUUCCCAGUGUAGCGGUGAAAUGCGUAGAUAUUGGGAGGAACACCAGUGGCGAAGGCGGCUCACUGGACCGGAACUGACGCUGAGGCGCGAAAGCGUGGGGAGCAAACGGG